CAAAGAAAAUCUCCAGACAACUCCCAGUCCUUCCACCAAGACAAUGUGAGAAAACACUGGCUAUCUAGGCUGAAUGGAAGACCGUGCACAUUCUCCUGGAAUGAACACCAGAUGAAAACGAUCAGAUUACCUUACAUGCACAGGCAGUGCUGAGGACCCAGGAGAAUUCUAGAAGGCACUGAACUCUAUGACCAGAUCUACGCAUAUAAAUCCACUUCUGGCAG
rnacentral:lncRNA from 1 species